rnacentral:rRNA from 1 species
AAUAGAUACCCUGGUAGUCCACGCCGUAAACGAUGGAUACUAGCUGUUCGGAGCAAUCUGAGUGGCUAAGCGAAAGUGAUAAGUAUCCCACCUGGGGAGUACGUUCGCAAGAAUGAAACUCAAAGGAAUUGACGGGGGCCCGCACAAGCGGUGGAGCAUGUGGUUUAAUUCGAUGAUACGCGAGGAACCUUACCAAGGCUUAAAUGUAGAUUGACCGGACUGGAAACAGUUUUUUCGCAAGACAAUUUACAAGGUGCUGCAUGGUUGUCGUCAGCUCGUGCCGUGAGGUGUCAGGUUAAGUCCUAUAACGAGCGCAACCCCUGUCGUUAGUUGCCAGCGAGUCAUGUCGGGAACUCUAACGAGACUGCCAGUGUAAACUGUGAGGAAGGUGGGGAUGACGUCAAAUCAUCACGGCCCUUACGCCUUGGGCUACACACGUGCUACAAUGGCCGGUACAGAGAGCAGCCACUGGGCGACCAGGAGCGAAUCUAUAAAACCGGUCACAGUUCGGAUCGGAGUCUGCAACUCG